rnacentral:snoRNA from 1 species
UUGACCAAUGCUAAGUAUUCUGAGAUGUAGGAAUCAAAGAUUUUGAUUAAGCUUUGUAACUUCGAGAUUCAU